rnacentral:lncRNA from 1 species
AAAGAAAGAAAGAGCUAAUUAUGAAAAUAGUUGUCAAAAUUUUAAAUUUAUCAAAUUUUUACCGACUGUCCCUACUGCAAGUGGCAAAGAACUUGGAGCUUGGUACCCGAUGUCCAAAAUUUAAAUCCUGGUUGAUUCACAUUUUCAGUUAAGUUUAUUUAUAAAUGAAAUAAACGAAACGGAUAGCAUGCUUACCUAUCUCUCAAAAAUAGAUUCUGCAAUUGUCUCCAUGUCUGAAGCAAUGUUGCUCAUCUUUUCUCCAAAAAGUAUAAAUCAUAAAUCAUAAGAAAAUAAUUUAUAGUUUUUUUUGAAAAAGAAAUAAUGUUAUACUCACUCACAAAAGUAAAUGAAAGUAGAGUCGAAACAAAUUUACUGAUUUUACCUCCAAUCCUAUUAAAUGUGUUUCGCUUACUAGUCAUAUUUGAGUAUAAAAUAUUUAAGUAUUAUUAAAAAUAAUUAUUUUAUUGAAUAUUAGAAGAGGAAGAUUUUGCAUUUCUGUAUCCCGAAAAAAGCCUUAUAUUAAAAGAUUCGAAUAUUGUUUUCUAGCAAGUAGGAACCUAGGUUUUUUUACAUAAAAGCCCCUAUUAAGUCAAGUCAUAUUUUUCUUAGGCAAGAGCUGCAAAAAUAUAUAUAAUAACAGAACUUUGAUUUGAACGCUCCCAUAAUUUGAGGACUAAAAUGCAAUAUGUGAAAGCUUCCGAGCCGAAUACAACCGGAGUAAUAGUUCGAGGACAUCGGUGUAAUUUAUCCUCUUCGAUACAUUGUUACGCACGUGUGGAAAAUCGUAUCUUAAGAUCCCAUACGGGUUAUCGGGUUGCGCCUUGUCGAAUACCCGUUAACUCAAAUCCGUUUCGUUGGCCCAUCCUCGCCCGCUACCAAACGAACCCCUUCCCUCUCCCUCUCUCUCCCCUCCCCCCUCCAAAACCACCGCUUAAACCCUUCGUCGUCGUCCUCCUCCUCUUCCCCUACACCGUAAAAACCCUAGCGCCCAUAGCGCCUCCGCCUCCUCCCCGGCCGCGCCGACGCGGAGGGCAGCGGCGGCGGCGUCGCCGGCGAGGAGCGCUGCGAGCGCGACCUCCUCCUCCGCGGCGAUCGCGGCGGGGAGAGGCAGCGCGGGAGGACGAGGUCCGGGACGCCGCGGAAGAGGAGGAGGAGGUCGCCUUCAUCGGAUCUUUGGGUUUUCAUGGCAAUGUGUGAAUGAACUGUUGAUUUGUUUUUUUUUUAUUUUUAUAUUUUGGUUGAUUUUGCAGGGAAAUUGAGGGGGUAGAGAGAGAGGAGAGGUAGGCAUGUCCGAUAACGCGUAAUGGUUUUUGGGUUCGUGCUAUCUCGUUGCAAGGUAAAAUUUUGUAUUUUGAAAUUAAAUUUAAAUACAAAGCCAUUUCCACAAAAUUUAUCAUGAAAUUUGACCUAGUUACCAAAUUUUCAUUUUCUAUCAGUUGAUGUACGCUACUUCAUCUCUUUAUUAUUAAUAUUACAUGACGUUUGAACGGAGCAUUCAGUUAAACAAUAAUUGAGGUUUGAUGCAUCGGUGGUAAUGAUUUGAAUUUUUAUGCGUAAGAUGAAAUUUCGCAAUAUGGCUAGUUUGAAACUUUGAAUUUAAAUUUCGUCAUCAACAUGAUUUUUUUUUUGUUUUAUCCUUAAACAUGUUUGUUGAAAUGUUACGAUAACUCCCGUGAGAGUUGAAUGAGUGUGGUUCUGUUCCACUCUAUUUUUAACAAUACUAUAUCUAAAUUUUAAGUUUUAAACAUGUCUUGCUUGUUUAUUUCUUUCUUUGUUGUCGCAAACUGGUAUCUAUCACACAAUCUGAAGAAUUAAAUGGUAAUUUUGGUAGACAACCUGGUUUUAGCAGAAGCUAAUGUUCAAUGCAUUGAACCAUCAAUCGCAGCAGAUUACAAUUUUGUGACUUCAGUGAAAUUUUUGGGAGCUGAGCGAUCAAUACCGUUCAAAUGUUCGACGAAGUGAUUCCAUAUGUUUUAGGUGACUCUUUAAGUUUUCAAUCGAUACUGUUGUUCGAAAGUUAAGCAGCCAAACUAUUGGAGGCUCUAACGAGCAUCAGAAAACAAGCAAAGAGAAAAUCAAGAGACUACAUCUUGUUUUGUUGCUUGGAUAAAAAAUUUGAGGGAACCAAAGAAUAAGAGUGAACAACUCCCGCCAAAGUUCAUUUUCUUUCUUCUCAAAAGAAAAGGGGAGAAUAGUAACAACAGUAUCAAAUCUUUCUCUUUUUUCCUAUUUUUAUAGGUUCAAACGACAUAACAGAGAAUCAUUUUUCUCUCCUCUUUCUCCUUUUUUUUUCCUCCUUUUUUUUCCCUACUGUUUCCUCAUUCUUUUCUUCCAAACAGAGUGCAAAACUGAUUUUCCUCUGAAGAAACAAAACCUGAUGAAAAUUACAAGCACUCGACAUGAGGAAAAUGCAUAUUCACACUGUUAUCCAUCAACAGCAUCCAAGCCCUCUUAGUACCAUAACCAGUCCCCCAGAUAUGGCGUGAAAAAAAAAAAAAAGGGAAAAAGAAAUCUGUAGCUCUACGCCAUCAAGUGCAUCACCUCUUUGGCUUCCUAGUGUCUUCUAUGGCGUGACGAGGAGGAUGAUGAGGACCCAGCGGAACCGCGCGAGGAAGACUUCUCGUAAGGUGGCUGAAACCCGAUGUUCUCCACGGCACCAACGGUCUUAAAAUGUCGUUUAUUCAGCUCCUCCACCAGGGUCCGGUGCAACAGCUGGCUCCGCACGUCCACCAUCGACCGGUUCUUCAUCAUUCUCCGCCCGUCCACCACCGGCCUUUUGCCCCUGCUGCUAGUGCCCAUUUCACGAAAGUGGGGCUCUUGUAGUAUGUUGCACUGCUUGUGUAGUUUGGAGGCGAGGGAGGUCAAUGUCUCUGCUGCUGUAUUCCCUUUGGGGUGGAACCUUAUAAUCGACUCGUGGCUGCUUGGACCGGGCUGAGUCUGAGCCUCUCUCUGGACCAGGGUUGUGCCAAUAUCUUGUUCGUUGGCCGAGUAGAAGUUUAUGGCAGAGUACUUGCCGGAGUGUGUGGAGCUCAUGUCAUCAUCAUCAGGGUGAAGUACAUCUACACAAGAGGUUAAUAGAAGAGGUAAAUGACUUGAUAAUUAUUAUAAUUGGGUGCUUCUGUGGCAUAAUAAAACUUUAUGUAGUUCUGAUUGAAGGAAAAGUGGUCUGAUGCAGAGUGAUGUAUGGGUGUAAGAAGAAGGCCAUUUACCUGGAAGCCAGUUUUCUUUACGAGACUUUCCCUGUUGGCAAAGGAAACCUUGAUAAGGCCCUAUACCAAGUAAUGACCCUUGUGAGGAGGAAGGGGAGGACAUGUAGUAGAAAGGGUGAUUGUUCUCAUCUUCAUCCUCGUCUCCAUAGUUGUAGUCCUCGGGUGGGACGCCACCAUUCCAACCUGGCACCAGAAUGGAGAUCUCUUGCGCUAUCAUCUCUGCGAUCUCCGUCGGCUUCCGAUCAGUGAUCUCCAGUUCCCUUACCAUCUCAUUCGCCACAUCAAUAGGUGUGUCGCUCAUGAUGUCAAAGGGGAAAUAUAUGUUCCUCACUUCACCUAAAUAGACAAAACUAUACCUAGUUAGUACAUUAUGACUCUGAACUUCUGCAUUUUGGUGUAUAUUAGCAUGUAACAAAUGUAUAAAUAUGCAUAUUAGUGACUAAAUAUCACAGCAUAAUCAAGUAAAAGAGCAGCAAUAUUAUGUUUUAAAUGAAUUCAGUGCUCUAGCACUCAUUUGAUGUAAUUUUUCCUUUUUAUUUUUAUUUUAUCUAUCGCUUCUUUAUAUUCCAUAAAGAUCAUGUACACAUCUGCCGAAGCUCUCAACCUUUUUCUUUUCUUUUUUUCCAAAAAAAAAGAGAAGCUUGUAUGUCAACUAUAUUUCAUAAUGCAACCGAUGUUUUGCACCUUGUUCAUCAGCAAUCUGUACUUUGAGUAUGAUGGCAUCAUCAUCCGGAUCCAUCCUGCCUGUGAUUGUCAUGUCAGUUCUCUUCCCUGCUGAUAUAGGCUUACAAACCUCCAGUGUAUGCCCAGGAUUGAUACUUUCGGCCAUAGCGGUAUGCUUAGUUGCUUGAUUUGGCAAGCUCAGCAUAGGACCAAUGUGGCCAUCCAACAAUAGAAAAGGAUCGAGGAGAAGCUCUCUGGCUGACGACCUUUCCGAGGCGUUCGCUAAGCACCGACUGAUGAACCGCUUGGCCUCGAGAUCUUGAAUUCUGUAGUAGGCAUCAGGCAACUUACCCUGUACAUAAAUCGAAAGCAAUUCAGAAUUUAAGUGAUGAAAUUUUAUAGAAGGAUAAGGAUGAAGUAAUUUAGUGACUUACAGAAGUAACUUUCUUGUAGAUUUGUGCAGGGUUCGAGCAUUCGCUGUAUGGGUACUCAGAAGUAAGCAUUUCGAGCAUGCACAUACCGAAGGAGUAUAUGUCCACGAGCUCAUUGUAGUCUUCCUCGUAGAGCUCGGGAGCCAUGAAUUCUGGAGUACCUGCAACAAGGUGAUAUUAGGUGCUAAUGCCCAUGCCCUUCUAAUUGAAUAGUUCAGCUAUGUAUAAGACCAUUCAAUUCUAGUAAUGCGCAUCAUCUAUCAGUGUGAUCAAAACUGAAGCAAAAACAGUUCUAUAUUUCAGAAACACUUUUGCCGAAGCUCCAGGUGACCCAAUUAGACCCUAGAUUAUUAUCAUAAGCUUAGAUAUCAAAAAAUAUAAUUUAUGUAAAUGAGGUAGAGAACAGCUGAUUGAGCUAAAAGUAUAAGGUUUAAUUGCCUAUAACACUGUGUGCAGAUUGUGAACCGCGGAGCACCGCCGCAAGUCCGAGAUCGCCAAUCUUGACCUGCCCGAGAUGGCCGUUGACGAAGAUGUUAUCACAUUUUAAAUCCCUGUGGAUUACUGGAGGAUCGUGACCGUGCAGAUAUACGAGCCCAUGCAGGAUCUGGCGAGCCCAGUUCUUCACAGCUCUGAUGUCGACUCGUCGGUACCUUUGUCGAUACCUGAAUAUCAUCAUUUUGAAUUAUUAUUGAUCGCAAACUUGUUAAUAUGUUACACGCUCUAUCAGAAAAGAAGAGUAAGGUUUGGUGUCUAUUCUUGUAUAUGAAAUAAUACCAAGCUUGUCCACAUGAAAGUUUCGAUAAUGUUUAACUCAACAUGAUCCGGUGAAACAUACUCUCGGAGGGAGCCGGAGGUGAACAUCUCGGUGAUGAAGUUGAAGGUCCGCUUAUGGACGUCGAUCCACGAGGUGUGGAACCUUAUAAUGGACUCAUGGCGGAGAGUGCUGAGGAGAUGGACCUCGGAGUACAUGCGCUGCAACGCCUCAGGUGUUCGCAGAACGUCGCAGAGCUUCGCUUGGUUCCACGCCACCUCAAUCCCGUUGAGCUCGUCGAAUGCUCUGAAGCUGCGGAAACCUCAGUUAAGUAACUCAUGCUACAUAACCCCCAGGAGUAAGUAUCCAAUACUAGUGAUAUAUGUUUGUGAAGAUUAAUUAGAAUGAAUUUUUCUGCGAGAAGGAUACACUGUCUUCAUGGCUCCUUUCCCGAGUUCUUCGUCGAACUGCAAAUAUAUGUAAACAACAUAGUCAAUGUAUGCAUUCUUUCUUCUUCUUUUUUUUUUGGAAAUAAACUGUAUUGAUAUUAUAAUCUCUGUGAAGUUUGAUCAUUGCUCUAAUAUUAUUGACAAGGAUUAUGUAGGACAUGAUUACCCUGGUGCUUCUCCAAAUGAUUUUUAACACAAUUGUUGUAUACUAUGCAUCCAAAAUUUACUAUAUUACUGUGUAAAAUGGAAAGAUGUCCCUACUACUAAAAGUUCCUUUUUUUUUUGGCUCAAUAUCCUCCUACUACUACAAAGUAAAAUUGUUUGUUUGAUUUUGUAUAUAAGUGUGAGCAUCUAUAAUGUGUGUUACAACCAAUAAGAUCAUGGAUAAAUAUUAGUAGUAGGAGAUGAACACUUGCACCCAAAAUGGCUCCCACAUAUCGCAAUCCAUAUCUAUGGUGUGUCCCAUUCAAAUCUUUUAAGCAUAAACUUGUGCUAGCCACCUAUAUCACACCUCCAGGGCUUUUAAUUAGUUUCCUUUUUCUAUAAAAUAUAACUUUACCAACCUCUUUGUGGAGAUGAUAAUUUUUGAAUCUGAUCAAAUUCAGUGACCAAAUAAUAACCAAAUUCAAUGAAUUCAUUGACGAGCAUCAAAAUAAGCUAUUGUAAUUUUCAAUUUACUUCAAGAGUUUAAACUUCAAAUUUGUUUACAAUUGUCGCUUCUUUUCCUCAAGAUGUAAGCCAUGUUCUAGAAGAUCCUCCCACCUACACUAAAGCUAAUAGCGUUGACUAUCAUCGUAUCAUUAUAGUUAUUCGUGUAACGAUCUGGUCCUACUAAUUAUUAGAAUAGUCCCAACCAAUAAUUUUUUAAUGUAAAUUUAACUCACAUAAUCGCGAUAGGGAACUACUCUACUUAAUAACUCACUCAUUCGAUGAUAUUAGUUAGUACUAAGUUACAUAUUACAUGAAACAAAUACGCAAAAAUAAAGUGUCUUAUACAUGAAAGAGAACAAAACCAAGUGGUGAGACCGAGACGUGCACGUAAAAUAUUUCUCCAACAAAAAAAUUGACCGAACAAAGAGAUUUUAAGAACUUACACGCCCGUAUCGGCCGGUCGGAUCGGUCUCGACGUACCCGUUGUCGUCCAUACCCCUCAGUCGAUUAACUCGAAGCUUAUCGCGAUGACGCAAACACGAAGAAAAUUGACCAAAAAAAAAAAAGAAAACGAACUGAAAGCAGAAGCAGGAGCGGGAGCCAGCUGACUACGACAUCGACCGGAGCUCGAUGGAAGGAGAAUUCGUAGGGAGCUCGUGCGCUAGAUUCACGGCUUCCCUUCGUGGUUCGCGUAGGAGAACACGCGGAAGAGGAGCCAGAAGAGCCUCGAGUGGUCGAUCCCCAGCAUGAUCCGCGCCAUGUCGAUGACGAUGACGACGACAACGCGAGAGGUCGAAGAAGCGCCUCGCUAUCAUUUGACGUAAAUCCCGCGUUCGUGCGCAAGAGAUAUAUGGGAGUGAGGAGAAUUUUCCUGGUGGUGGAAUUUGAGUCUAGUAGUGGUGGUGGUGGUGGUGGUGGUGGUGGGGAUAAAAAUGUUUUGCACGUUUUGGGACCUGUCACGUAGGUGGAUAUUAUGGGAAUGAAAUGGGAAAGUUUUGGAGGGAUAUUAUUGCGCGGUGGGGGGCGUUUUGGGAACAAUGAUGUGGGGAUCUGAACUUGAAGACUCUGUGGCUACGCUUUGAUAACACCAUUUGUGGCAAAUAAUGGAAAGGGGAUUGGAAUGGAAUUAAUGAGUGAAAAGGUUCCUCCUCUUUGGAGAUGGUGAAUAUAUGAUAUAGAGAGAGAUAGAGAGAGAGAGAGAGAGAGCUUUUUAUACUAUUUGUGAUGAGAUUAGAGAGAGAGAGAGAAGUAUAAAAGGAGAACUAUUUGUGAUGAGAUUAGAGAGAGAGAGAGAGAGAGAGAGAGAGAGAGAGAGAGGACGAGGAGAAGGAGAAAACUAAAAAGGCGUUGUGACUGGGGAAGGUGGAGAUUUUUGGGUGAGCCGAGUGCGUGUGUAUAUAUGUACAUCAUAAAUUUAUUUAUGAAUUUAUUUAUGUAUCUUUUAAUAUAUUUUGCACUUUUUGUUUUGUUUUGUUUUUUUUUUUAAGAAAUAAUUGCCUAUAUACCUUUCAAAACAUUGAAAAUAUCUUAUUUAUUCCUAUUUUUUUUUCUUUCCAAUUUAUCCCUCAUAUGUUCCUCCGUUAUUCCAAAAUACUCCUGCAGUUACCAUCCGUUAAAUUAAUCAGGUUAAACAUGAGUUAAAUAUCUAUCACAGUUAAAAAAAAAUAAAAUACCAAUUUUGUCUUUAACUUAAGAGUGAGUAAGAAAAGUUGGUGAUGGUAGAAGGGUAUAUUUGAAAAAAUAAAAAUGUAAAAUACUUUUUGUAUCUCUAACUUAAGGGCAAAUAAGAAAAGUCAAUAAUAAUAGAAGAAUAUAUUUGGAAGGGUAAAAUAGUAAUUUCACAGAAAUAACAAAGUUUAUUAACAGAUUUUAACUCUAAGAAUAUCUUAGAAAUAGAUUGGAACGUAAAAAAAGUAUUUUCAAUAUUAGCUUUCUAAGAAGGGUAAAUUAAAAAGUCGGAAAUUUUUCAGGAACAUAUAAGCAAUUGCCCUUUUUUUUUAUGCAGUUGCCCACAUUAUUUAACGUCCCUAUUGGGUUGCAUUUUCUGGUUUUUUUUUCUUAAUUGAUAGUUGAAUAAUUUGGUUUCAAGUUGGAAAUAUUUUGCCAGUAAAUUUGCUGAUACGAAGGGCAUGCUAACAGAUAAUUCUAUAAAAACAUAUGUUAUUCUUUCGAUAUAUUUCAUUUAUUGAAGUAAAAAGUCUAAGAAAUGAAAAGUGAGAUGCUCGAUCAAGAUGCAAUAUUUAUAAAGUAGUCUAUCAGUAUGAUCUUCACCUUUUUGAUUUUUAACUUUUGGGCAAAACUAUUUUAUUAGAUGUUUGAAAAGAAAAUGUUUUGAAAUGUUUCACUAUGACAAAAAAAAAGAAAAAAAAAAGAAAAAAAAAAAACUAAUUUUGAGCUCUCGAUUUUGAGCUCUCGAUUUUUAAACAGACAAAAAAGAUAUAUCGAAUAAGACGUUUAUGCAUCUAAUUCAACAAACCCUCAAUGAUGGGAUGAAGAUUUUACAGAUGAGUUAAUUAUGGCCUUGCUUCGACGGAAUAAGUUAUUCACGACAUCUUAUUCAUUACAAAGAUAUUUUUGUACGGUUCAAAGUAAGAUCUUGAAUUUUUUUUUUUUUUUUUUUCGAAAAAUUUUAGCAUCAACAAUUUGGUUGCGUAACGUAUCUCACCUUCCCAAACAAUGACUUGAGACGGAAUAUAGUACGCACCAUUCGACACAUUUAAUUACACUUUUUUUUAUGUAUCAAAGUACAACAUAACUUUUUGAAUAAAUUAAAAAGGAAAGAUUAUCAGAAUUAUUAUGUAUACACCACAGACGAGGCCUACGUGGCCCAGGUCUAAAUCGUAGGGUGGUGCACCAGGUGCAGCGAAUGAUUGGGCGAGGUGGCGACGUGGCGUUAGAAGCUGGGAAACGGCACUUUGAGGUGUGGGGCCCACCAGGUUUUAACGGGUGUUUGUGGUGGAGGUGGUGGGGGAAAGGAUCCGGUCCAAACGUGACGUGUACUUUUUUUUUUUUUGUUUUUGGUUUUAUUUUUAUUUUAUUUUUGUUAUUUAAGGGUGCUUUUUUUUUUUCCAAUGUGAAAAACGCUAUUAUAUGUAUAUCUAUAGUUAGGAAUAAAUUUUAUAAUUCGAACGUUUAAAAACUCACAAAACUUUUUUUAACUUUUAGUAAAUAAAAUUGACAUAAUAAACAAAAAAAAAAAAAAAAAAAAAAUCACAGAAGCAAGAAAAGGUAAUGAGUCAAGUUUUUACUUUUUGUGAUCAAACAAACUAAUGCAAAGUACAGAAGAACAUAUAAAAGAUAUAUUGGAAAAAAAAAAAAGUAAAGCUUUUGGAUGAGAAGGGGUGUAAGAUUUAAUCUACGAAGGAAUAAUUGCCUAUAUACUUUUCAAAACUUCGAAAAUAUCUUAUUUAUCUUUAUUUUUUUUCUUUCCAAUAUAUCUUUUAUAUGUUCUUCUGUUAUUUCAUAAUACUCCUGCAGUUACCACCCGUUAAGUUAACUUCAGUUAAACGUGAGUUAAAUAUCUACCAGAGUUAAAAAAAUUAAAAUAUCUUUUUUGCUCUUAACUUAAAGAUAAAUAUGAAAUGUUGAUGAUGUAGAAGAGUAUAUUUGAAAAGACCAAAAAAUUAAAAUACUUUUUGUACUUCUAACUUAAGGGUAAAUAAAAAAAGUCGGUAAUGAUAGAAGGGUGUAUUUGAAAGAAUAAAAUAAUAAUUUUAUAGAAAUAAUAGCUAUUGCUAACAGUUUAUUAACAAAAUUUAACUCUAGAAAUAUAUUUGAAAUAGAUUGGAACAUAAAAAUAGUAUUUUUAAUAGGUCAGAAAAAUAAAUUAAAAAAUCAAAAAAUUUUCAUGAGUAUAUAUAAAUAAGGGAAAAUUUCAUCAUUACCCUUCCAAAUAAGUCUAAUAUCAUGAAUGCCCCUAUAAAAAUUGAAAUAUCAUAAAUAACCUUUUAAAAGGAAGAAACUUUCAAAAAUAACCUUUACACUAAUUUAUUAUCAAUUUUGAAUAAACAACAAACAAAAUUCCAACUUUGCCCUUAAUGUCAUUACUAUCUUAAAAUAUUUAAUUGACUAUAAAAUUAUUUAUAUUUUUAUAAACACUCUUUUAAAUUUAUAGAUAACCUAGAUUUAGAGAUAAGUUUUUUGUCAAUUAAAAAAAAAAUAUAUAAUCCUGACAAGUUAAGCUAAAAAAUAAAAAAAUCAAUUGAAAAAAAUUUAGCAAAAAAUUAUUUAAAGUAUCAAUUGACUCCUUAAAUUAAGGUUAAACAAUUUAUUCAAAAUAUAACUUAAAUAUACAUGCAUGAUGUGAAUUAAGUUAUUUGAACUAGCACAAAUUUCUGUGCUUUGGCAUCUCGAAUUUUAAAAUAAAUGAUAUAAAGUAUUUUAUUUUAUAAACCACACAACAGUAAAAUAAUAUAUUUUACUGUUUAUUUUAAUAUAUUAAAAUAAAUAUAUCAUGCUAAAAUACUUUUGUAAAAAAUUUUAGAAGUUAAGGGCAAAAUGAACAUUUUGACUAUAUUUAUGAUAAUCUAAAUAUUUUAUCAUUCUAUAAAGAGAUGAAUAGUAAGGGUAAGGGUAUAUUUAAAACAUAAUAAGUAUUUAUAGGAGUAAUUGUGAUUGAAUCAAAUUUAUAGGGGCAUCCAUGAUAUUUUUGAAGUUUAGAGGGGUACAAAUGAAAUUGACCCUAAACUACAAAUAAUUGUCCUUUUUAUGAAUAUCUCCUAGUCAUUACUUUAUUUGUGUAUUUUUUAAUAUGGAAAAAUAUCUUAUAUACGCCCAUGCGCGUAGUUCGGUUUGGUGAAACCCUUGCGUACCCUUUGAGGACUCGAAUGAAUUUUAGUGACUUAUUUUUUAGCAUAAAUUUUAGUUUCCCUUAUAUAGUUUAGCCUAUAUAACGUAUUUUUAUUUUUAUCAUAUUUUAAUUUAAAAGUUAUAUUUAAUUAUUUUAUGAUUUUACUUUUAUUUUGUGGUAAGAAUUUAUUAUUAAAUAGUAUCGUAGUAAAGCCGCAAAAAUGAUAUAUUAUCAACAUCAACAUGUGAUUUACAAAAAGUGUUGCUUUGAUACCAUAUUUAAUAGUUGGUCCAUAAGAUAAAUUAAAAAUAAUUUUACAUAAUAACUAAGUGCGAAUUUUCUCAUUUUAACAUUCAGAUAAUAUUUUAUUAAAUAAUACUAUACCAUAAUCAAUAAGAUAUCUAAACUAGAAUACUAGAAGAGUCUAAGUGGGUUUGGAUUUUUUUUCCUUUUUAAAAGAUGAGCCUUAUCCAUUUAAUGUGACAUAUAUCACUAUGUUGAAUUUGUGGCACAAGUGAGUUAAAUUGUCUUGGAUGUUAUGAUUCUACCUAAUAAUACCCUUUUGUCUGAGUUUCUGGGUUUUGGCUUAUUUGGUUACUUAAUUAUUUUUAAUCUUAAUAGGAUGGUUGUGUUAAUUAAUUUGGAUUACACUGUCUUUUAGUUUCCUUAAAAAAAAAAAAAAAAAAAAAAGAUUUGUGUCAAACUCAUUGAACAAAAAUUAAAAAAAAAAUCAAGGCCUGAAUAAUCUAUAUAACUAGCCUGAUCCUAUUUUGAAACAUACCUAAGGAAUAGGUCUUGCUUUAGAAUAAAGAUGAAGAAUCAAAUUCCGUAAAUACGCACGUUCUGGGUUCGAAAUUUUCUAACAUCUAAAAUUUUUCUGAAUAAAAUUACUGUAUCAGACGAGUAGAGCUACUAUGCUAUCGGAAGCACAGAGGAUCGGGUGCUUUCGAUUUUUUGGCGCUUAGAUCAACCCCUUUAAUUAUUUCUAACCUUUGAAUUAAUACUAUUAAUCUGUGGGGACCACUCAAUCCUAGGGCUACUACUCAACUCCGGGGGACCGCAAUCAUUCCAACCAUAUAAUUUUUAAUCUAAUAGUUAAAAAGUUUGAAACGUCAGAUUCUCUAUACUUCCGAUAGCAUAGUAGCUCUACUAGUAUUAGACAAUGGUUCUUAUAAGCUUAUAUAAAAUGCGAAACUCAGACACGGAGUAUGAACCCUAAUUUUUUUAUUAUAUUCCAUAUAUUAAUAUUUGAUCUUGAUAUAUAUGCCUGAUUUUAAUAUGCGAAUUGAAUUAUUGUAUAUUAAGUUAACUUCCAUUCAACUGUAAAAAAAAAAAAAAAAGGAAAAAGUUGCUGCUAAGGCCCAUUUGAUAACCCUAGAGAUGUGCCUACUUAUUGAAAAAAAAAAAUUAAAUGAAAAAUGGAUAGCAAAAGGAUUUUAGUUUGUGUCAAACCAUAGUUAAAAUAACCAAAUUAGCCCAAACUAUAAGGUUCAAGUAUAGGUAUUUUAUUUUUUUUUAAAAAAAAGGGAAAUUUUGAUACUCAUUAAAUUCAAAAGUUGCUCCUUAUUAUUUUUUUUUUUUUAAAAAAGGAAAAAGAAAAUGUCCACAUGGGUUUCUCAAACAAAUUGAUAACUGGCAUGAGUGUAUUUGUGGAAAUAAAUAAAUUAGGUCAUUAUUUCAAAGCACCCACAUGACAUAUUCAUAUGUAAGAUCAUGAAUUUGAUCUUUCAUGUCACCAAUAAUUACCACAAACUUUAAAAUUUAAUAUUUGUCCUUUGGUGUAAUUAAGGGCCAAUUAAUUACCCAAUUUAUUUAUGUUCUUUUGUAACCUUUUCCUAAGUUUAAUGUAAAACUUGUUUGAUCUUUUCUUUCUCAUUUUUCGAAAAGCAAAUAUUUCAUUAGUUGCUUUUUUUAAAAAAAAAUAUGAACAUUGAGCUUAGUCGAAUUGUUAAUUUUCAAUAGUUAAUUACUUGUUGAAGUAAAAUAAUAAGAUAUGCGAUCAAAAUAGAGUCUCUGCGAAAAUUAAGCCUACCUUUUGCUUCAUAUAAUAAGAAAAAAAAAGUAAAAAACUUUUUCCUCCUUUGUUUGUGGACAAACACUAUAUAAAAAUGAUAGGAACCUAACCCCAAAUCAUAAGACACUUUAUGCUUUUAAAAAGAUGCCUCCACUUAAAAAAAUUCCUCACCCAAAAUGAACUUUUUCCACUAUUUAUGGGGCCCAUAAAUUCAUUGACAUGAGUGGCAUUUACCAAAAUUACAUAGUUUUGAGGCUCCACUUUCUUGGUCGAAAUUUAAAUAAUUUAUAUAUAUAGAUUUAAACUAUUAUUUAAAAUUAUACAAACUAUAAUUUAUCAUAUUUUAGAGAUAUCAAGUAGAACUAUAUAUUGAUAAAGCAAUAAUGCAUGUAUAGUUUAUACUAUUACACGCACCUUCGUUGAAGAACAUAAAACAGAUGGAUAAAUAACCAAAGCGUGACAAGAAUAUUAAAUUUUAAAUGUUGUGUGUGAGAAAUUAAAUCCAAAAUCUUUUACCUAAAACUAAGUAAUCUAAUAAAUAUAUCUAAUAGAAAAUAGUUUAGAAGCAGUUUUAUCAAACUAAAUUAAAUUAGGAUCGACCGUGUUUAUUUCUUCAUUUGUUUUCGUUAAUAACAAUUGUUAAUGAUAUUUCUAAACAGUUCCUUAUAGAUCAAAUUAGCGAUAAAGUAUGGAGAGCGAGAUGACCAAACUCUCGAUUCCAAAAUAACAAUAAUAAUAGUAGCAACAGUAGUAGGAGUAAUAAUAAUAAUAAUAAUAAUAAUAAUCCUCCGCAAUUCCUUUAUCCCUUAUAUAACACUAAUAAUCUUACUAAGAAAUUAUAUUACGAGGACUAAAAAGCAUUUAUAAACUUAUGAAUUGAAAAUUGGGAGUUUCCUGGCCCACCACGUGGCGGGCGGACGCGAGGGGCGCGAGGGGGUGGGCGCGAGCGGGCGAGCGGACUAGCAGGCGCAAGCGGGGAAGCGAGCGGGCGAGCGGGCGAGCGAGCGCGGGCGGGCGCGCAUGCGCGGCCGUGGGCGCGGGCGCGGGGGUGGGUGCGCGGGCACAAGUAGACCUUGCAAUCUCGACCUAAACCCGCGGAUGCCCGCGGGUUACCCGCAAAUUUGCGGGUAUAGGUACCAAUUUUUUCAACCCAAAAAAUUAUAGGUAAAACGGGUAGGUGCCCAUUAAGCUAUGAGCAUUUGGGUAACCCGCGGGUACCCACAGGUACCUACACAUAUAUAUUUNGAAUAAGCACAUUGUGUACUUAUAAGCUUUAGCUCUUUAGCUUGGGUAAGUUACAAGAUGGUGUGUGUGUGUGUGUGUGUGUGUGUGUGUGUGUGUGUUUUGUACUUAAAAAAUAUAAGAACAAAAAAGAAAAAAAAAAUUACGGGUAACCCGCAUACCCACCCGCCCACCCGCGGGCGGGUAUGAGUAAAGAUGUUGGCUACCAAAAAAUUUGCAGAUAAAUUUUACCCAUGUCCAAAUAACCUACGGGUACAAUGAUCCACCCGCGGGUUACCCAACCCACUCAUUUGCCAGGUCUAGGCGCAAGGGUGGGCGCGAGCACGCCCGGGCGGGCGAGCCGGCACGGACUCAGGCCCACGCGGGCUUUUUUUUUUUUUUUUUUUUUUUUUGCUUUUUUCCUGUGGGACCCACUCCGAUCUCUCUCUCUCUUUUUAGAUUUUUUUUUCUUUUUUCUUAUUGGCCACAUACAAAAAAUAAAUUUAAAUUUAAAUUUAAAUUUAUUAUUAAUAAUUUUUGAAUGUGUUGUUUAAUUUUAUAUAUUUAGUUAGUAUAUUUUAUGUACUUGUUGUAAUUAAAUAUAUUUAAAAAAAACUUAAUUGUAGUGUUUUUUAUAAAAAUAGAUUAUUUAUGUCUAAAUAAUUAUAAAAUUAAAAUUAAUAUUUAAUACAUACGAUCUAAAAUAUUUAAAAAUUAAGCAUAAAUAAUUAUAUAUUUUAAAAUUUUAUUAUAAUUAAAAUGCAAGCUUAUGAAUUUACAAUCUAAAUCCGAACAGGGUGUUAAGAUCAGUAUUAUUGUUUGUAAUCAAAACUUGCAUAUCUGAUAUAAUUGAUCGCAUGUGAAAAUAUUUUUAAACUUCUUUAUUUAAUUAACUAAAAUAUAUUAUUAUUUACUUUAUAAAAAAUAUAUUUAAUUAUUUAUUAAUUAUUUAUAAAAAAGAUAAAUGAAUCCGUUGUAUCGCACGGUUGCUUAACUAGUAUUAAUGGAUCCACAUGCUUUUUUUAGUCCCAUCACUUUUUGUUUGUAAACUCGUAAUUAAUUCAUAGGCUUUAAUUUCUCUAAUCCAUUAAAAGUGUAUGACUUUUCUGAUGAAAUAAUAAUAAUAAUAAUAAUAAUAAUAAUAAUGUAUACAAAGGUUGGCAUGUGAGAAAUUGGUGUAUCUGUAUAUCUCAUGCACUGCAUCUAAUAUUUGAUAUACGAUAUAAUAAAAUAAGUAUCGCACAUUUUAUAUACCACAUAUGAUACUUGAUGUCUAAUAUUAUAAAAUCAAAUUCUUUAUCUGAUAAAUGUGAUUCUCAACAUCUAAAGAGUCCACAUAUAAGAAAUCUUAGGUUCUAAAGUAAUUUUGGUAACAUCCAGCUUCAAAAAUCAAUGGUAUCGGCAAGAGACGUUAAUAUUUUUUUUUUUAACAAAAAAAUUGAUAUUCUGUACUCGUAUACAAAAAAAAAAAAAAAAAAAAAAACUUUGUCCAUUUCAUUUCGUAUUGGGUCUGAAUCUGGAUACUUAAGUUAAUAAUAUACUCAUCGGAUUUAUUUGAACGGAUUUAGAUAGUGACUACUCGUAUACUAUCCGUUUAAAACCGGAUAUGGAUCGGAUACGUAUAGGACGGAUAUAGAUCGGGUAAGAAUACCCGUAUGCAUAUUUUUUUAUAAACUUUAUUAAACAGUUUAUAAGCAAACUAUAAACCUAUCACUAUAAAAAAAACUCGCGUUCUAAUUAGUUGCACCCAGUCCAAUAAAAUUCGUUCAAAAAAAGAUUCAAGCAGUAAACAAACAGCGUUAAAAAAAUGAGUAAAAAAAAAUAAACAGAACAACUAGGAUUUUCACUAUGAUGAAAAUACACAGACCCUUCAUCUAAGUCAGAUUGAAAUUGAUCUCUCAACUUCAUUUUUUUUUUUUAAUUUACUAUCCGGUAUUUCACCAGGCCCGAAUCCGGAUUUUAAAACUCUUCCGAUCCUUACCCAUUAAAAAAUCAGGCUAGUGUCGGUUUCAAGUCAGGUAUAAGUAUAAAGUAUUCAGAUCAAUAUCCGAAACUUUAAUGAAUAAGUUUUUUUUUUUUUUAAGACUCGUACGCUAUUCAUUUUUUAUCGGAUCCGAUUCGAAUCUGGAUAGGGUUCGAAUCGGAUAUGAAAUAUCGAAUAUUUUGGACAGCUUUAGUGCCAAAAAAAUAAGG